CCUACGGGAGGCAGCAGUGAGGAAUAUUGGUCAAUGGCCGCGAGGCUGAACCAGCCAAGUAGCGUGAAGGAUGACUGCCCUACGGGUUGUAAACUUCUUUUAUCAAGGAGUAAAGUGAGGCACGUGUGCCUUUUUGUGUGUAUUUUAUGAAAAAGGAUCGGCUAACUCCGUGCCAGCAGCCGCGGUAAUACGGAGGAUCCGAGCGUUAUCCGGAUUUAUUGGGUUUAAAGGGAGCGGAGAUGGGUGGUUAAGUCAGGUGUGAAAGUUUGCGGCUCAACCGUAAACCUGCACUUGAGACUGGCAGCCUUGAGUACAGGUGAGGUAGGCGGAAUGCGUGGUGUAGCGGUGAAAUGCUUAGAUAUCACGAAGAACUCCGAUUGCGAAGGCAGCAUACUAAAGUGCCACUGACAUUGAUGCUCGAAAGGGUGGGUAUCGAACAGGAUUAGAUACCCUAGUAGUC
rnacentral:rRNA from 1 species